rnacentral:lncRNA from 10 species
GCGCCCCGCGCCCACAGGUGCACGCGCCCUUGGCGCCGCCUGCACCCCACGCGCCCCCUCCGCUCCCCGGCCGACGGCCCACCUGGGCUUCGUGAACAGUGGGAGGGAGAGUCUGGGGCCAGGAGAGGGACGGUGCAGGAUCAGGGAAAGGCUCUCCCUCUGUCACCCAGGCUGGAAUGCAGUGGCAUGAUCUUGGCUCACUGCAGACUUCGCCUCCGAAUUCAUGUGAUUCUCCCACCUCAGCCUCCUGAGUAGCUGGGAUUACAGGU